rnacentral:pre_miRNA from 1 species
AUUCUACUCCCUCCGUUCCACAAUACAUGCCUUCUAUUUGUCAAAAUAUAGAUGUAUCUAGACAUAUUUUAGUAUAUAGGUACAUCCAUUUUUGGACAAAUGGAAGUCAAGUAUUUUGGAACGGAGGGAGUACACA